rnacentral:rRNA from 1 species
GAGUUUGAUCCUGGCUCAGAAUGAACGCUGGCGGCAUGCCUAACACAUGCAAGUCGAACGAAGGCUUCGGCCUUAGUGGCGCACGGGUGCGUAACGCGUGGGAAUCUGCCCUCAGGUUCGGAAUAACAGCGAGAAAUUGCUGCUAAUACCGGAUGAUAUCGCGAGAUCAAAGAUUUAUCGCCUGAGGAUGAGCCCGCGUAGGAUUAGCUAGUUGGUGUGGUAAAGGCGCACCAAGGCGACGAUCCUUAGCUGGUCUGAGAGGAUGAUCAGCCACACUGGGACUGAGACACGGCCCAGACUCCUACGGGAGGCAGCAGUGGGGAAUAUUGGACAAUGGGCGAAAGCCUGAUCCAGCAAUGCCGCGUGAGUGAUUAAGGCCUUAGGGUUGUAAAGCUCUUUUACCCGGGAUGAUAAUGACAGUACCGGGAGAAUAAGCUCCGGCUAACUCCGUGCCAGCAGCCGCGGUAAUACGGAGGGAGCUAGCGUUAUUCGGAAUUACUGGGCGUAAAAGCGCACGUAGGCGGUUUGUAAGUUAGAGGUGAAAAGGCCUGGAGCUCAAUUCCAGAAUUGCCUUUAAGACUGGAUCGGUUGAAUCCAGGAGAGGUGAGUGGAAUUCCGAGUGUAGAGGUGAAAUUCGUAGAUUUCGGAAGAACACCCAGGUGGGGAAAGGCGGGUUCACUGGACUGGGUAUUGACGCUGAAGGUGCGAAAGCGUGGGGAGCCAACCGGGUUUGAUACCCUGGGUAGGU